rnacentral:rRNA from 1 species
UACGUAGGGUGCGAGCGUUAAUCGGAAUUACUGGGCGUAAAGCGUGCGCAGGCGGUGAUGUAAGUCCGAUGUGAAAUCCCCGGGCUUAACCUGGGAACUGCAUUGGUGACUGCAUCGCUCGAGUAUGGCAGAGGGGGGUAGAAUUCCACGUGUAGCAGUGAAAUGCGUAGAGAUGUGGAGGAAUACCGAUGGCGAAGGCAGCCCCCUGGGUCAAUACUGACGCUCAUGCACGAAAGCGUGGGGAGCAAACAGG